rnacentral:rRNA from 1 species
CGAAAGCCUGACGGAGCAACGCCGCGUGAGGGAUGGAGGCCUUUGGGCUGUAAACCUCUUUUCUCAAGGAAGAAGAUCUGACGGUACUUGAGGAAUAAGCCACGGCUAAUUCCGUGCCAGCAGCCGCGGUAAUACGGGAGUGGCAAGCGUUAUCCGGAAUUAUUGGGCGUAAAGCGUCCGCAGGCGGCCGUUUAAGUCUGUUGUUAAAUCGUGGAGCUCAACUCCAUCACGGCAAUGGAAACUGUUCGGCUUGGGUAUGGUAGGGGCAGAGGGAAUUUCCGGUGUAGCGGUGAAAUGCGUAGAUAUCGGGAAGAACACCAGUGGCGAAAGCGCUCUGCUGGGCCAUUACUGACGCUCAUGGACGAAAGCCAGGGGAGCGAAAGGGAUUAGAUACCCCUGUAGUCCUGGCCGUAAACGAUGAACACUAGAUGUUGGGGGAAUCGACCCCCUCGGUGUCGUAGCUAACGCGUUAAGUGUUCCGCCUGGGGAGUACGCACGCAAGUGUGAAACUCAAAGGAAUUGACGGGGGCCCGCACAAGCGGUGGAGUAUGUGGUUUAAUUCGAUGCAACGCGAAGAACCUUACCAAGGCUUGACAUCCUGCGAAUCUCUAAGAAAUUAGAGAGUGCCUUCGGGAACGCAGUGACAGGUGGUGCAUGGCUGUCGUCAGCUCGUGUCGUGAGAUGUUGGGUUAAGUCCCGCAACGAGCGCAACCCACGUUUUUAGUUGCCAGCAUUCAGUUGGGCACUCUAGAAAGACUGCCGGUGACAAACCGGAGGAAGGUGUGGACGACGUCAAGUCAUCAUGCCCCUUACGCCUUGGGCUACACACGUACUACAAUGCUGCGGACAAAGAGUAGCGAUCUUGCGAAAGUUAGCUAAUCUCAUAAACCGUGGCUCAGUUCAGAUCGUAGGCUGCAACUCGCCUACGUGAAGGAGGAAUCGCUAGUAAUCGCAGGUCAGCAUACUGCGGUGAAUACGUUCCCGGGCCUUGUACACACCGCCCGUCACACCAUGGAAGUUGGCCAUGCCCGAAGUCGUUACUCUAACCUUUUGGAAGAGGGCGCCGAAGGCAGGGCUAAUGACUGGGGUGAAGUCGUAACAAGGUAGCCGUAGCGGAAGCUGCGGCUGGAUCACCUCCUAA